rnacentral:rRNA from 1 species
UACGUGGGGGGCGAGCGUUGUCCGGAUUCAUUGGGCGUAAAGCGCUUUAAGGCGGUUCGCUAAGUCGGGUGUGAAACCUCCAGGCUCAACCUGGAGACGCCACUCGAUACUGGCGUGACUAGAGUCCGGUAGGGGACCACGGAAUUCCUGGUGUAGCGGUGAAAUGCGCAGAUAUCAGGAGGAACACCAGUGGCGAAGGCGGUGGUCUGGGCCGGAACUGACGCUGUAGAGCGAAAGCGUGGGGAGCGAACAGG